UACGAAGGGGGCUAGCGUUGCUCGGAAUCACUGGGCGUAAAGCGCACGUAGGCGGAUUUGUAAGUCAGGGGUGAAAUCCCGGGGCUCAACCUCGGAACUGCCUUUGAUACUGCAAAUCUCGAGUCCGAUAGAGGUGGGUGGAAUUCCUAGUGUAGAGGUGAAAUUCGUAGAUAUUAGGAAGAACACCGGUGGCGAAGGCGGCCCACUGGAUCGGUACUGACGCUGAGGUGCGAAAGCGUGGGGAGCAAACAGG
rnacentral:rRNA from 1 species